CUGCACAAUUUAGCGCAGUCAUUCGGCCACUUGCAUGUCUGAACCCAGGGUUGCUGGGGGUGUGUUUAGCUAACCAAGUGUGACUUUCAGAUGACUGCAAAACAUUUCAAUUAGUUUUUACCUCCGAUAUGAGAAAUGAAUUUGUAAGACAUCAGUACUGCCGCCGAUGAUUUUAGAGUGAAUUUGUGUGAGACAAAGAUCUACGUCCUUUCAAAAGAACGCUCUAUAAAUUACAAUGUGUUGUCGGCCUAAGGCCUCGUUUUUAAUAGAAGACAUACUUCAGCACUCACCAACAAAGACUUCAGACUCUGGGGACUCUCCAUGGCCAACCAGACCGACGCCUGUUUAUCUUAACCAAGUGUCAUCUUUACAUCAUACUUCAGACAUGGCGAGGAUGCCAACACCAACGUCAGCGGCGCGAGGCGUCUAUGUGAGUGAUGGACUUAUAACAGAAGAUAGACUGAGAAUACACGAAUAUUCACAUCAGCGUCACAGCCAGCCUCUGACAGACCCGCUGAUGGAGGAACCUCGUUGCAUAGGUGGGUUCGGGCGCUGUUGGGCAGUGAUGCCUAACUACUCGCUGACCGUUCUGACAAGACAUCACGGUCACAAGAGGAAAGGCGGUCAAGUGAGGUUCUCCACUCAACAGACCUCAACGUUGGAAGGGCGGUUCAGCGAACACAAGUACCUCAGCCCCGAGGAGAGGCAUAACCUUGCAGCCCAGCUCAAGCUAUCGGACCGACAGGUUAAAACCUGGUUCCAGAACCGACGCGCAAAGUGGAGACGGACGAACACGUCGAAGUCUAGAAUGGAUGGCAGCCAGUCACAUGAUUCAACUUCCAGUAAUACUUUAACUGAUGAAGACGCCUUCGACAAUUCCUUAUUGCCAGUCAAUAUUCUGGGCUGAUUCUUCAUUUCCUUGGAAGCAGAACUGCUACUUCCACGAAACACGAGAAGACUGGGUUGUAUGGAAACGACAUCUCCGGAUAUAUGGUGUACAUCGACUUGCCAGCAGCUGCUCUUCAGAUCAAGACAGUGCGUGACAACCAGUGUCCAUUGCUGGUCAACAACUAGCAAUUC